AACUCCUGAGCUUAGGCAGUCCACCUGUCUCGGCCUCCCAAAGUGCUAAGAUGGAGAAAGCUGCCAUAUAAAGAGUUAGGGGGACCAGGGCAAGAUCUGAGGGAUCAGUUAGUUGGCUAUGCCCCUUGUCUGGGCAAGACACUGCAGUGGCUUGGGUGGGGUGGUGGCAGGGGUGGUGGGGUGAAGAGCCUAGGUCUAUUUUGAAGACAGGGUCUCUAUGAGGGGUCUCUGUUUCUACUCUUCCAGAGCACACCACCACCUGCAGCUGUCUCCUGCCUCCAGUGCACCAGAGUCUGGAGCACGCUGCUUCUCUGGAGGGAGAUAAAGACACGGUGGCUACCUGGGGAGAUAAAACAGCACCAGCAGGAAUCAGGGGUUCCAGAGAGGAGGGAACCUGGCCCUGGGCUGUGUCCUGGCUUUUGUCUCUGCCACUUCUACUAAAACCACUCUGCUCAAGGCUGUCAUCAGUGUCUCCAUUGCCCAGGCCUGGACUGUCAGAGCCACUCCGGGACAGUUGCACCAGAUGCAUGAAUUUCCUGAUACAGCGAAAUCUCAGCAGAAGUUGACACCCACCUGCCUGGUGCUCUGGGAUGAAUUUCUGCACAGAUGCAACCUCUGUUGGUGGAAGCUAGGAUAAGGUGUAUCCAUCUGUGAAGACCGGCCUUCCAUCUGUUUUCUGAUGCAACCAAAAUGCUUCAGGGCUUGUCUUAUCUGGAGGUUUGAUGGCUACAGACGUGAGGGGCUUCCAGGUAGAGCUCAGCCCUGAGACCUCUGGUCCCCUGUCUGGACAUCUGUAUGAAGAUGGAGAAGCAGCAGCCAACCUCUCCACAACCCUCACCAAGUUCUCAUGGAACAUCCUCUGAUGGUCCCUCUCAGUGCUGGGUUCUGGGGAGAAAGAGAAGUCAGGGAACAGAAGAGCUGCUCUGCCAAAGUCAUACCCUUCUUGGAGACACAGGGAACUCCAUCUCUCAUUCUCACUUGCAAUUUGCUGUGGCAACUCAAAUAUGUUUUUCCAGAUGGAACAUGAGCAGACGUGAUGUGUUUGCCCUCUAGGUCUAACCCAUGCAAAGCCUCCUGGGAACACACCUCACGCUAUUUUCCCUUCCAUCAGCUGGAUGUGGAUGAUGAUUAGGAACUAGGGUGAGGUGGAGCCAGAAAACACAAGGAGCCUGGAUCCCUGAAUGACCACAUGAACAUACACAUGCUGAAGACUGCCUUGUAGGCAGGAAAUAAACAUCUACUGUAUUGAA